AUAUCUCUCCGUACGGGAAGGAUGAGAAGCUUCGAUUAAGGUUCGAUUCGAGCGCAGCGAGAAAGCGUUGCCGCAGGCAACGACCCGAAGGGCGAAGCGCGCAGCGCUGAGUCAUCUGAGUCAUCCUUCCCCCCCCACCA
rnacentral:sRNA from 1 species